CCCAAAAAUAAAUUAAAAAAUCACUGUUUGGUAGACAUACCCCAAAUGAAAGCGUGUGUGCAUUUAAUUGAAGAUGGUUUCAUAGAGGGUAUUUUAUAAAAACAGCCUGCAAAAGCUGCAGAUCUCUUGUUGGAAUAUUUUGCAAGCCCUCCCUUUGUUUCCCCGCCCAGGCUUUCUGUGGCUGUCCAAUAACAUACUUUCCAAUGCAGCUCAAUGAGAAGUAUUUACAAGGCAGGAGCUCAGGGCAAUUGCUGCCUCUUGAGUUUAGUUCCACUGAGCUAAACUACCAGGAAGUAACAGGACUGGUUGUCUGCUUGAAAAGCCAAGGGGGUGUAACCAGUAUAAUAUAUAAAAGUGUAAAUUUCUGUUGAAAACUGUACUUUUUGCAAAAUGAGAAAAAGAUAAAGCAUUUCAGCAAGCUAAAGUGCUUUAGGGGCUUGGAGUGUCCCUUUUAAGUAUCAACGUUAAACCUGG